rnacentral:piRNA from 1 species
UCUUGUUUUCUACAGAACAACAGGGUUGA